rnacentral:rRNA from 1 species
AGCGAACGCUGGCGGCAGGCCUAACACAUGCAAGUCGAACGAAGUCUUCGGACUUAGUGGCGGACGGGUGAGUAACACGUGGGAACGUACCUUUUGGUGCGGAACAACUCAGGGAAACUUGAGCUAAUACCGGAUGAGCCCUUAGGGGGAAAGAUUUAUCGCCGAAAGAGCGGCCCGCGUUAGAUUAGCUAGUUGGUGCGGUAAAGGCUCACCAAGGCUACGAUCUAUAGCUGGUCUGAAAGGAUGAUCAGCCACACUGGGAAUGAGACACGGCCCAGACUCCUACGGGAGGCAGCGGUGGUGAAUCUUGCGCAAUGGGCGAAAGCCUGACGCAGCCAUGCCGCGUGAAUGAUGAAGGUCUUAGGAUUGUAAAAUUCUUUUACCAGGGACGAUAAUGACGGUACCUGGAGAAAAAGCCCCGGCUAACUUCGUGCCAGCAGCCGCCGUAG